GACGAACGCUGGCGGCGUGCCUAAUACAUGCAAGUUGAGCGCUGAAGGUUGGUACUUGUACCAACUGGAUGAGCAGCGAACGGGUGAGUAACGCGUGGGGAAUCUGCCUUUGAGCGGGGGACAACAUUUGGAAACGAAUGCUAAUACCGCAUAAAAACUUUAAACACAAGUUUUAAGUUUGAAAGAUGCAAUUGCAUCACUCAAAGAUGAUCCCGCGUUGUAUUAGCUAGUUGGUGAGGUAAAGGCUCACCAAGGCGAUGAUACAUAGCCGACCUGAGAGGGUGAUCGGCCACAUUGGGACUGAGACAAGGCCCAAACUCCUACGGGAGGCAGCAGUAGGGAAUCUUCGGCAAUGGAGGAAAGUCUGACCGAGCAACGCCGCGGGAGUGAAGAAGGUUUUCGGAUCGUAAAACUCUGUUGGUAGAGAAGAACGUUGGUGAGAGUGGAAAGCUCAUCAAGUGACGGUAACUACCCAGAAAGGGACGGCUAACUACGUG
rnacentral:rRNA from 1 species